rnacentral:rRNA from 1 species
UGCAAGUCGAACGCCGACGCACCUUCGGGUGUUUAGGAGUGGCAGACGGGUGAGUAACGCGUGGGAACCUACCUUUAGGUACGGAAUAACGCAGGGAAACUUGUGCUAAUACCGUAUGAUCCCUUCGGGGCAAAGAUUUAUCGCCUAAAGAUGGGCCCGCGUUAGAUUAGCUAGUUGGUGAGGUAAUGGCUCACCAAGGCGACGAUCUAUAGCUGGUUUGAGAGGAUGAUCAGCCACACUGGAACUGAGACACGGUCCAGACUCCUACGGGAGGCAGCAGUGGGGAAUCUUGCACAAUGGGCGAAAGCCUGAUGCAGCCAUGCCGCGUGAGUGAAGAAGGCCUUAGGGUUGUAAAGCUCUUUCGCUAGGGAUGAUAAUGACAGUACCUAGUAAAGAAGUUCCGGCUAACUCCGUGCCAGCAGCCGCGGUAAUACGGAGGGAACUAGCGUUGUUCGGAAUUACUGGGCGUAAAGCGCGCGUAGGCGGACCAAUCAGUCAGAGGUGAAAUCCCGGGGCUUAACCUCGGAACUGCCUUUGAUACUGUUGGUCUAGAGUUCGAGAGAGGUAAGUGGAAUUCCCAGUGUAGAGGUGAAAUUCGUAGAUAUUGGGAAGAACACCAGUGGC